rnacentral:rRNA from 1 species
CGUGUAGGCGGUUGGUUAAGUCGGAUGUGAAAGCCUGGGGCUCAGCCCCAGAAGUGCAUCCGAAACUAUCCGGCUAGAGCGCGAUAGAGGAGGGUGGAAUUCCUGGUGUAGCGGUGAAAUGUGUAGAUAUCAGGAGGAACACCGGCGGCGAAGGCGGCCCUCUGGAUCGUUGCUGACGCUGAGACGCGAAAGCGUGGGGAGCAAACAGGAUUAGAUACCCUGGUAGUCCACGCCUUAAACGAUGGGUACUAGGUGUUCGGGGUGUUGACCCCCUGAGUGCCGCAGUUAACGCAUUAAGUACCCCGCCUGGGGACUACGGCCGCAAGGUUAA